GCCCCGGUAGCUCAUCCGGUAGAGCGCAUGCCAAGUACGCAGAAGCACAGGUUCAAAUCCGGCCUGGGCCC